AUUGAACGCUGGCGGCAGGCCUAACUCAUGCAAGUCGAACGAGUGGCGGACGGGUGAGUAAUGUCUGGGAAACUGCCUGAUGGAGGGGGAUAACUACUGGAAACGGUAGCUAAUACCGCAUACCAUCGGAUGUGCCCAGAUGGGAUUGGCUAGUAGGUGGGGUAAUGGCUCACCUAGGCGACGAUCCCUAGCUGGUCUGAGAGGAUGACCAGCGAAACUGGAGCUUAGACACGGUCCAGACUCCUACGGGAGGCAGCAGUGCGGAAUAUUGCACAAGGGGCGCAAGCCUGAUGCAGCCAUGCCGCGUGUAUUGAGAAGGCCUUCGGGUUGUAAAGUACGUUCAGCGGGGAGGCGUUACCCGCAGAAGAAGCACCGGCUAACUCCGUGCCAGCCGCCGCGGUAAUUC
rnacentral:rRNA from 1 species